GCCUGGGUGGCUCAGUUGGUUAAGCGUCUGACUUCGGCUCAGGUCAUGAUCUCGUGGUUCGUGAGUUCAAGCCCCGCAUCGGGCU
rnacentral:tRNA from 1 species